rnacentral:rRNA from 1 species
UACGAAGGGGGCUAGCGUUGUUCGGAUUUACUGGGCGUAAAGCGCACGUAGGCGGAUUGUUAAGUCGGGGGUGAAAUCCUGGAGCUCAACUUCAGAAUUGCCUUCGAUACUGGCUUUCUAGAGGCUGGAAGAGGUUAGUGGAAUUCCCAGUGUAGAGGUGAAAUUCGUAGAUAUUGGGAAGAACACCAGUGGCGAAGGCGGCUAACUGGUCCGGUACUGACGCUGAGGUGCGAAAGCGUGGGGAGCAAACAGG